CUUUUGAACAGUCCAGUUGAACCCUUUGUUCUGGCUCCCUCGACUCAUUCGUCGCUGCGCCUAUGCUGUUCGAUGAAAUUCUUGAAAGAACUAGUGAAGCCAUUCUGAAUUUAGCUACCUUUUAAUUGUUAAUAACUGAACUUUAUCCCUCUUUGAUAAGCUUAACGUUAUCCCUCUUUGAUAAGCUUAACGUUACAAUAUGCAACGCUUAUCAUCAAGACUCUCAAGAACCUUAUCUUUCUCAAUUGUCUCCAUUACUUCAUUAAAACAGCGAAAUUUAACUACCCGCUCUGUGAACUCAACUCUCCAAACCCUCCGGCAACAAGAACCCACCAUUCCAGGUCGCUUCCUCAAAUGGGGUUCGCUUGGUUUUGUUAGAACCUCAAGGUUUGCCACUGGGUUCACUUCGCUGCAGCCAAAGCCGCUCGAUUCGAUAAUGGAUAUUGAACGGGCCAAGGACAAGUCCCCUGAGGACCUCGCUUCCAUUUGGGAUGACUAUCACUUGGGAAGAGGUCAUAUUGGUGCGUCUGUGACAGCCAAACUUUAUCAUUUGUUGGUGCAAAGAGCAGCAGAUUGGUAAUUGUGUUGCAUAGUGUUCAUGUUGUAGACAUGUCCUCUUGCCCUAUGCAGCCGGUAUUUUGUUAUUCCUCUGUGGAGAGGAAGUGGUUAUACAACGAUAUUUGCUCAAGUACAGAUGCCACACAUCCUUUUCACUGGACUUGAAGAUUACAAGGCAAGAGGAACUCAGGCAGCACCCUACUUCACCGCCUCUUUUUAUACUGAAUUUGCAGAAACCAAGGAUUUGGUCCUUAUCGGGGGAGAUAUUGUUUUUACCAGCAAGCUCGCCGAUGAAGAGGCAAAGUGGCUUUUAGAGACUGCUCAAUCUUUUUAUUUGAAUGAUGGGAGGUACAAGCUGGUUGAACGGUUCAACAAAGAAACGCGUGAUUUUGAAUUCAAGGAUGUCUUGCGAGCACUGGAUAUGCCCAUUCUGUGAUUUCUGAUCUAAUUAAUUAUGGCUAAAUAGAAUUGGGACUAUAAAGGAGAAUGAUUUGAUGUAUUGAGAAUGUUGAAAUUUUUAUUGGGAAAAGCUGACGCACAUCUUUUUCUACAGGGAUAUAGUUAGUUGCUUUUGCAAAUUGUUCCCUGUUUGAAGAUUCGAUUAUUGAAUGCAUCUAAUAAUUGCAAAUGCGCAAGUGAAAGAAGACAAAAAAAAAGUCUCAGAGGAAAGCAUCCAUGCAGUGCAGCUCAUGAGUUUGUGAACUCUGUUUACAUUGACAAGCUAAUUUCCUAUGUUAUUACUGUCAGCACUAAAAUGUACAACUUUCG
rnacentral:misc_RNA from 1 species